rnacentral:rRNA from 1 species
CUGAAAUCAAGUGGGACUACCCGCUGAACUUAAGCAUAUCAAUAAGCGGAGGAAAAGAAAAUAACAAUGAUUUCCCUAGUAACGGCGA